GAUGAACGCUGGCGGCGUGCCUAAUACAUGCAAGUCGAGCGAACAGAUGAGGAGCUUGCUCCUCUGACGUUAGCGGCGGACGGGUGAGUAACACGUGGAUAACCUACCUAUAAGACUGGGAUAACUUCGGGAAACCGGAGCUAAUACCGGAUAAUAUAUUGAACCGCAUGGUUCAAUAGUGAAAGACGGUUUUGCUGUCACUUAUAGAUGGAUCCGCGCCGCAUUAGCUAGUUGGUAAGGUAACGGCUUACCAAGGCAACGAUGCGUAGCCGACCUGAGAGGGUGAUCGGCCACACUGGAACUGAGACACGGUCCAGACUCCUACGGGAGGCAGCAGUAGGGAAUCUUCCGCAAUGGGCGAAAGCCUGACGGAGCAACGCCGCGUGAGUGAUGAAGGUCUUCGGAUCGUAAAGCUCUUUUAUUAGGGAAGAACAACUGUGUAAUUAACUAUGCACGUCUUGACGGUACCUAAUCAGAAAGCCACGGCUAACUACGUG
rnacentral:rRNA from 1 species